GGAAGUUGUUGUUGGCCGAAUGUGGACGUGAAUCACUCAGAGACCUUAAACCUUUAAACCUCAAACUAUCGCAACGCAGAUGCUGGUGAGCCGCUGCCCGGCCAGGUGGCAGCUGUGAGCUCUUUGUCUCAGAGAUUAGAACCAACAACAUUUCAUUUACUGGCCCAAACCUCUUGACCAGUAGGACACCCUGCCACCCCGAUUUAAAGGAUCGUUGAGCCGACUCAAUCUUAUUUCACGGUGUACCAUCACCGGAGAGUCCAUGUCGUUGAGGUUGGACGAAGGUUGGACGAAGGUUGGACGAAGGUUGGACGAAGGUUGGACGAAGGUUGGACGAGGGUAUACAAAGAUAAACAUGUUUUGUCUUUCUGCCACAAUCCCAAUUCCC
ensembl:lncRNA